AUAGUUUAGCUUUAAGGUCAAUUGAAAAAUGAAGUGAUUUUUAACAAAUCUGAAAUUUUAAAGCAAAUGGAAAACUUUCCCAUGAAAUAAUUUUACUCGAUCUCUACAAUGAUUAAUGUUUCUGAUUUAUUAACGACUGCCGUAUUUAUCUUCCAAGUAUAAUAAAAAAAUAUUAUAUUGAAAUAAACGAAAUAAGGUUAUGUGUGCAUCUAGCAACAGUGGCAUUGCAAGAAACCAAUUGCCUUUUUGGCGGGAACCGUAGGAGCAAAGCUUUGUGAAUUAUUUUAUUUUAUUGAAGUUUUUUUCAGAUUUAAAUGUAUUAAAAUGAUGGUUUAUUAACUGUUUAUCAAAAACAAAGUUACUAAAAUCAACUUCGUCUCAUUUUACAACAUAUCAUAUCAUUAUCAGAAUACAGUAGAAAUUAUGUUCAAGCUAGGUUUUAAGAUCUUGUGACCGUUAGCCAUAAGUAAAUUCUAACGAAAGAAGCAGGCUAUCAUACCUACUGAAAAAAGAAGAUUAAUCCAAAGUCAAUGCUCGGUCUACUGCGCGUAUUGUCAGUGUACUACCUAGGUACAGUCCGCGCGCGAGCUCCGAGGAUUUUUAAGGAAUGUUGACGUAAUGAGCUAGUGUUGUAAUUAGUCGAUAUUGCGCUAUCGAUACUAACACAUCUUAAGCCUCCGUGCGAGUGUAAAUUAUAAAAUAGUUUUAUGAGGGUAUUAUGUACUUGAAAUAAAAUAAAAAAUACAACUGAUCA